rnacentral:lncRNA from 1 species
GGGAGGAGUCGGAACAACUCCCAGGUUUCUGGCUGGGUCAGCGGGGCGUAGGUGUGGCCGUUCCCCAAGAUACGGAAGGCUGGAGGCGCAGGAUUCUUGGGUGAGAUGAUUAUCUGUGUGGAAUACGGUGCAUUUGAGGGCUGUGCACGGCAUAUCCAGGAGGACAUGUCUGGGAGGCAGUUGGACAUGGAGAACGGGACUCCGGAGAGAGAGCCUCUUCCCUGUGCCAUUUGAUCAACCAAUCAACAUACAGCAAGACUUUCCAGCUUGCCACAGGCCCCACCAUGCCCUCAUGUGUGCCACCAGGCUUGCAUCCCUCAUUGAUGUCACCUGCCUGGCCCUUGAAGCAUGCCCUGGAUGCUGACCAGCCCUGAGUGUAGAGCUGACUUGAACAAGGUCCCUGCUCACAGGCACCACGGUAAGAGAUGUGAAUGUGGGAUACCGUGGGCCUGGUGAGGUGGCUGGCUCCUUUGUAGAUGCCUCAUAGCACACCUGCCUCUUGUUUUUCUGCAUGCUGGUGGCGUUUGUGUGUGUGUGUGUGUGUGUGUUCCCCAUAAACCCAUGUCUGCCUUUAAUCAAUUUCUACUUGGAAAGUGAGCCUGGGUGGCCACGGUUUGAGAUGGUACCCACCUCUUGGGGUCCAGAUAAGCUCCUCUAGGGUGAUGAAGGGAUUGUCGGGCUCCUUCGUCAGCCCCAGCGGCCCACAGCUCAGAUGUGCAGCCCUUGGGAAGCCCUCAGCCUGGGUCCUGGCCUCACUGAGGCCCCGAGGCCCCCAUCUUCCUGCCCAGGAGGGAUGAACCAGCCUGGAGGCAGGCAGCAGAGCAGGAAUGCAGCCUCUGCUAGCUCCUGACAGGGCAUCUCUGGGAGGCCCCCAGAUCCUCAGGGCUGCGGCUCUGCCGGGGAAGCGGGGAUUAGGAGCCUAAUUCCGCCGAGAAUCCUGUUUUUCUUAGCCUCACACAGAUUGCUCUUUGGGAAAGGCCCCUCAUCUAAUUAGCCUGAGUCAACAGCUCCAUUUAUUUGGACACGUGAUGUUAUGAAACGGGCUGCUGCUGGUGUGUUUUCGUAGCGCAUAUCUGGACUGCCCCUCCAGGAUGGCAUCGGGAGGCUGCCUGGCCCGAUGAGAAAACUGAAGUGCAGAGAGGCUGAGCGACUUGCCCCAGGUCACACAGCCAGGAAGGAGCAGAGCUGGGUGUUCAGGCCUGUGUGACUCCAGAGACUGGCAGGAAGAUCCUCUUCCUCUGGCCGCCCCAACUCCCAGCAAGUCACAGGCUUUGGUCUUAGUGAACUGUAGUGGGCUUCUUGCCGCCCCUUCUCUGGGCUGUUAUUUUUGCUAGAUGGGUCAGUCAAGGUGGGCAUUUGACACGCUGGGCCGCAUGGAAGUCACCCUGGAGAAAGGGGCAGAAGCUCUAUCCUGCUGCCUCCUUCCUGUGCCCUGACCUCGAGUUCCUACUGACCUAACGUUUGCCUGGACCCUUUCUGCGUGUGCAUACCAGAGCCGAAAGGAAAGAAGGAGGACCAGCCAGGGUGGCCUUGUCAUCCUUUCCCCAGAGCACAGAGCGCUUGGGGUGGAGUGUUCAUCCCCUUUUGGCCAAAUAGAACAUGUGUGAACAGCAGCGGCUCAGCAUAGCGUUUUGGGGCCCUUCCACGCGUGGCUGGAAAAGCAGAGGAUCGGGAGAGGCGGGAGCCCAAGGGACAUUGCCUGAUGGAUUAAAAAAACAAAUUCCAGCGCUGGGCCUGGAAGCUUCUUAAAAAGGGGAGGAAAUUGAAACUCAGAAAGCUUCCAUGAUCGCCCAAAUCCCAAGGCCUGUGCCAUUGAUUGAAGUUUGUGUCCUCCCCAAAUUUGUAUGUUGAAAAGUUAAUGACCAAUGUGAUGGCGUUGGGAGGUGGGGCCUUUGCGAGGUGAUUGGGUCAUGAGGGCAGGGCCUUCAUGAAGGGGAUUAGUGUCCUUGUGAAAGAGCGUGGAGAAAGCUCCCAGGCCCCUUCCACCAUGUGAGGACACAGCCAGAAGGCACAGGCUACGAACCAGGAAGUGUUUUCACCACACCAAACCUGCCGGCACCUUGAUUUUGGACUUGCCAGCCUCCAGGACUGUGAGAAAUAAAUGUUUGCUGUUGAUAGACUUAUAAACACCUAGUUAUAAAAGACCUUAUAAAAGACCUAGUUCAUGGUCUUUUGUUAUAGCAGCUCAAAUGGACUAAGACACCGGUAAGAGAAGGUGCUGGGACUCAGGCUGUCUGAUACCGAAGUCUGGGCUCUCAGCCCCUAAGGGUCACACAUCCCCGAUUCUGAGGCCAGGAAUGCCCUCCUCCCAAGUCAAAGAUGGUCAUGGUCUUGAGACACUGGAGCCCACCUGGGGCUGCCAAUUGCGAUGUUUGAGAACCCUUCCUGUCAUGGCGCCGUGUACAAGCCAGGGAAUGGUUUUGCCAGUUUGGGCAAUCCCAGCUUUCUUGGUUCUAAACUAGUGAUUCUCAACCCUGGCUGCACAUUAAUGUCACCUGGGGAGCUUUGAAAAAUGCACACCACCCAGGCCACCAAGACCAGUCUCUUGGUGGGGCUGGGCAUCAGGACCUUGUUGAACUCCCUGGUGAUUCCAAGGAGCAUCCAGGCCUGAGAACCCCUCUGAAGGGAAACAGCUGGCUUUCGGGCUCCUGUUCCCUUCCACUGAGGGGCCAGGCUGGGGGCUGGGAGUGGAGGAGGGUUUGAGGCAAGGAGGGGGCAUGGGUAAGGAGGCAGUAAAAAGGGAGAGGUCGAGGCUGACAAAGAAUGUGUGGGGUGAGGGACCCUGACAGCUUAAGUAACUGGAUCAGGGUGCACACAGGGUAACUGGCAGAGCUGGAAAUCACACCACUGACAUGGUGGCAAAACCAUUGGAACCUCUUGUUACUGGGGAGACCCCAAGGGUAGCUCGGGUAGAGCUCCCCAAGACCUAGUUCUGCAUCCAGUUCUCGUCUCAAUGCAUCCUUUCUGCUGAUUCAGCCGCAUCCACGCCCAGGGCUUCUAUCAUUACCUGUAUCCCAAAUUUCUAUUUUCAGAGCAGACUGUUCCAUGGAGCUUCAAACCUAGACUGCAGUGACUCAUCUGACACCUCUCUUGGAUGACUCCAAGGCCCCCAGGGUUUCACAUGCCCAAGAAUAAACUCGUAACCACCUCCACCCCCAAUUGGUCCUUCCACAGGGUCCCAAGCCCAGUGAAUGGCACCAGGAAUCGUGCUUGACUCCCCUCCCUCACUGCCCCGUGCGUCACCAGCGUUCUUGGUCUAACCUUCUAAGUACCCGUCCAUCCUGUUCUCUUCUCUCCAUCUUCAUUGCCACCCUUUUAGCCAAGCUACCAUCGCCUUUGGUAAUUUCUUCUUUUUAUUUCUGGGUAAGUUAUUCUUGCUAAUGUGAUUAUUUGAUUUCUGCCUGCGUCUCCCGCCAGCUUAUACACUGGGUAAGGGCAGGGGCUAGCUUUUUGGUGACUUUUGUAUCCCCAGCACCUAGCACCUCAUCUGGGCCUCAAUAAACAUUUGUUGAAUACCUAAGUGAGUGAAUAACUUUAUUUUAAACUUUUGAUUCCUUCUGGGGUCUGUCAAUAUAGCGGCUACUCCACUAGAGCUUGCUGCUUUCAGGCUGAAAUCAA